rnacentral:ncRNA from 1 species
CUGGCUUAAACUGACUCAAACAAAGCCAGGUUGGAUGAUCCUUCGAUGUCAGCUCUUCCUAUCAUUGUGAAGCAGAAUUCACCAAGUGUUGGAUUGUUCACCCACUAAUAGGGAAGCUGGGUUUGGUUUAGACCGUCGUGAGACAGGUU